UUUUUUGUGGUAAUUUACAGGUGCUGGGAUCAGUUCUGAUAGCUGCUUUGACAUGUUAUGAAGAUGAUAUAAUUAGGAGUCGAUAUCGAAUUAUGGUGGAAAUAUUGAAUGAAAAUGACAACAUGCCAUAUUUCCUUGAAGACACCAUUCAACCACGAUAUAUAAGUGAGUUGCUUACUGUAAACUCGAUGGUGUUCACA